GUCAGAGAUUUAUGGGAUUAGAAAGGGUAAACAUAUACUGAGAGAGCUGAGAUUCCACUGCAUGCCAACGCCCUGGCAUCGGUUUAUCUUUUUGUGUGCUGUCUGGCUGCGGUUGCAGCUGCAUCUUCGGCUUGUUGUGGCAUUAAGAGAGUCGUUGAUCUUGCUGCUGUAGUGCCAUGUGUUGGCAGCUUGGCUCUAAUUGAAAUAUUUUUAUUGCCAUGGCCAAGACCCCCCGCCGGGCUGCGUGCUGUCAUUAAUAUUCAUUAGUUGCCGCAAACGCAUUAGCAGAUUGCAGCCAACAGUCCGAUAAACAUGGACAAACAGCUGGCUGCCUAAUGCCUUCAACUUGUCCCCAAAACCGAGCCGAGAACAAAACAUUUUAUUUGCGGAAGUCAUUAGGUGGUGCAACGUCUUGGCUCAGCUCGGCUCAGUCUUGGAGUCUUGGAGUCUUGGUCUCUGAUUGCGCUUUACGGUGGCUAUGCAAAUUUGUUGUCGCCUCUUGCCGGGCAGCAAAUGAAGUUGAAGCAAAAAGGCGACGUUGCAACAAUGAGCGGCGGCUUGCUUUUACGGCUCUGCGGUGGCAUUUGGCUUCCGGCUUAAUUUAGCAAACGUUUGCGACUUUAUUUUUGACAGUCACAGAGGACAGCAGGCAGUGGCUUCAGGCUGCCAAAUGCAACUAAAGACAUCAGUGGACUUCCACUGCCAAAGGCAAGUUUGGGAAUUGUUUUGCAAGGUUUUCAAAUUAAU
rnacentral:lncRNA from 1 species